UACGUAGGCAGCGAGCGUUGUUCGGAGUUACUGGGCGUAAAGAGUGCGUAGGCGGUUUUCUAAGUUUGGUGUGAAAUCUCCCGGCUUAACUGGGAGGGUGCGCCGAAAACUGGCGGGCUGGAGUACGGGAGGGGGAAGCGGAAUUCCUGGUGUAGCGGUGAAAUGCGUAGAUACCAGGAGGAACACCGGUGGCGAAGGCGGUUUCCUGGCCCAGUACUGACGCUGAGGCACGAAAGCGUGGGGAGCGAACGGG
rnacentral:rRNA from 1 species